ACAGCAGCAGCCGCGGGAACACGUAAGGGGCGAGCGUUGUUCGGAAUUAUUGGGCGUAAAGGGCAUGUAGGCGGUUAGGUAAGCCUGAUGUGAAAUGUACGAGCUUAACUCGUAAACUGCAUUGGGUACUGCUUGACUUGAAUCAUGGAGGGGAAACUGGAAUUCCAAGUGUAGGGGUGGAAUCUGUAGAUAUUUGGAAGAACACCGGUGGCGAAGGCGGGUUUCUAGCCAAUGAUUGACGCUAAGGUGCGAAGGUGCGGGGAGCAAACAGGAUUAGAUACCCCAGUAGUCCCUGUCUCUUAUAC
rnacentral:rRNA from 1 species